rnacentral:rRNA from 1 species
GACGAACGUUGGCGGUGCGCUUUAUACAUGCAAGUCGUGCGCGAAAGGCCCCUUCGGGGGCCGAGUAGAGCGGCGGACGGGUGCGUAACACGUGAGCAACCUGCCCUGGAGUGGGGAAUAACUCCGAGAAAUCGGGGCUAAUGCCGCAUGAUGUCGCAGCUCCGCAUGAAGCUGCGCUUAAAGUCGGCCUCUGCUUGCAAGCUGGCGCUCCAGGAUGGGCUCGCGGCCUAUUAGCUAGUUGGCGGGGUAAUGGCCCACCAAGGCUACGAUGGGUAGGGGGCGUGAGAGCGUGGCCCCCACA